UUGCUUCAGCAGCACAUAUACUAAAAUUGGAAUGAUACAGAAAGUUUAGCAUGGUCCCUGCACAAGGAUGAUACACAGAACUCUUCAGGGUCUUAACUUUAAA